CUGCCUCCCGAGCUCUGGGAUUAAAGGCAUGAGCCACCACUGUCUGGCCUAAAAACUCUUCUAUUUUUAUUUUUACAUUUUAUUUAUUUAUUUUUAAUGUGUACCUCGAUUGCAUGUCAUCUGUGCAUCACGUGCGUGCGGUGUCCAUGGAGGCCAGCAGAGGCAUCGCUGGAUGCCUGGAACUGGGAUUACAAACAGCUGUGAACUGCCACCUAGGGCCGGGUCACACACCUUCUUCAUGAUGGCGGAGAUGAAGACGCUCCAAAGAGACAUUUGUGUCUUUCCUUUUGUUCCGGCGGGGCAGAACUUCUGCAACCACCCGGGGAACCGGAAGUGGCUCCAUUAUUGCAUCUUGAGACCCAUUGCCCAAGCCAAGAAUUGGCCAGAUUCCUCAGGCCGGCUCCCACCACCCAUCACUUCUUCAGGAAUCUGGUGGAACUCCUGCCUCCCAGUGAUACAGGGCAGAAAAACUAAUUGUACAAGAGUUGUUUUCAAGAACAGAACUGUGUUUCGGAACCAAAAAACGUGUCCUGACCGAAGACAUUCCCACAAUUCUCUCCCCGACUUUGCAGACAGCCUCUCUCCUGGGCAGAUUGAUGCCUUCCUGGUCUUCUCUGUCUCCCUAUUUCCCCAAGAACCCUGUCCUUUCAGUCAAACCCAGGGCCUCUUAACAGGCUGCUUGUUUCUAGUCUUCAGGCAUUUCUUUGCUGUCCCCUCGGAUAUUACAGUGUCCCUUCAUCUUCUGCUUGGGGCAGGCCUUUAGCUCUGAUGUCCCUCCCUUGUCACCUCUGUAUAGACCUUGUGGCAGUGGUGUGGAUAAACUGUUUUUUAAAGACAGGGUCU